UACAGAGGUCUCAAGCGUUGUUCGGAUUCAUUGGGCGUAAAGGGUGCGUAGGUGGCGCGCUAAGUCAGGUGUGAAAUCUCGGGGCUUAACUCCGAAACUGCAUUUGAUACUGGCGUGCUUGAGGACUGGAGAGGAGACUGGAAUUCAUGGUGUAGCAGUGAAAUGCGUAGAGAUCAGGAGGAACACCGGUGGCGAAGGCGGGUCUCUGGGCAGUAACUGACGCUGAGGAGCGAAAGCCGUGGGGGAGCGAACAGGA
rnacentral:rRNA from 1 species